rnacentral:lncRNA from 1 species
AAAAGAAAAGAAAACAAGAAAAGUGGAAUAAAGCCUGUAUGGUCCAAAGUGUAUCUAUAUUGACAUGCAUAUUGCAUCAAGUGUCUUGGUAGGCUUUCUAUCUUUGAGGGCUAUCUGGUCUCCUUUCCCUCUGGAGUAUCUAUUUCCUCCUCCCCUAUCUUGUCUAGAAAGACAUAAAGGACCGCUCAUAGCGGAUGACGGCGUGCC